UCAUCAUUCCCGAAUCAUUUUAAUUUGAAUUCUUUGCAACAUUUGUGGAGUAAAUAAUUCUAGCCUUAAAACAAGAUUAAACAAGAACAACAAAUCUCUUCAAAUUUAUGAAUCUUAUAUAAAUUUGAUACAAAAACUGUAGGAGAAUGAGAAACUACAAAUUAAUGCACUCAUAACUAUAAAUGAAAUUUAACAUUAAUAUUAAAAUACUAAAUCCAACAGUGGUUUAAAAAUAUAAUCCUCCCCCAAAAUUCAAAAUCGAAUGAACAUUUGAAAAUCCACCGAUGUAAGUGUCUGGAUUAGAAGAUUAAAGAAAAUCAGCAUGUUUAUUUCAAUGGAUUUAAAAUAAUUAUUAGAUUAUGUUCAAUACCAGUGCAUGAUCCAAUUGAAAAGAAUCUUAAAUAGAAUGACACAAGUAAUUUCCUUAGUUUAUAAAAACUUGCAAUAAUAAUUCCAUUUAAUAGUAAAUUUUAAGAGCUUUUCCUUCGAAAUCAAAAGCAAGUAAAAUAUUUUCACCAUAUCUCUUCAAUUCAACAUUCAGUGCAUAAAUAAACAAAUAAGCCAAAAUUAAGUUGACAUGAUUGGAAAAAAAAGAAACAAGAUAGUUAGCUUUUGCAAAGUGAGGACAAGUUUAUGUACAUAGACAACCUGGGAGGAUCUACAGUCAGAUAAUUAGAAUUGUAAGGUUGCUGGCUGGAUUAGUCAGGUUAGCAAGAAUACAAUAUAGUAAUUAAAAAAUAAACACAACCUCUGGUUUGAUUCACGCACACAUUUAUUCUUGCAUAUACCAUGUCUGAUCUUGGCACAAGAAACUCUCCAUAGUGUGUCCUACAUGCAGUGAUUCAGUGAUCCAGGCUGAUCCAAUCUCAUAAUACUGCUAACUCCACACCAGGCCUCUGCAUCUCUCAAGCAGGGUAGGCAAUUGCCUUCGUCCCUCUGUGCUGCAUAUCCUGAGCAGGGAGGGCACAAGGAGUCCAGAGGGUAAUUCUCCAUUCCCAGGUCACAGGAAGCAGGAAUGGAGGGUCAGGUGGACAGAGAGAGAAUAUUUUGGCAGUUAGCAGUAUGCAUAAGGAAAUAGGAUGUGGGGCACUUUAAGUUCACAAACAAGUGCCUGGAGUGUCUGUUUAAAGAAAGGGGAACCAGUCAGCUAGGUGAGAAAAAUGCUGCUAAGUUCUUAUCUCUAGCCACCGGCUUGAGCCAUUUGGAUGUGGUAUAGAACUGAAAACUAUGUCAGGG
rnacentral:lncRNA from 1 species